CGAUUUUGCUGCAACUCAGGUGGGUUUUUCUUGUGUUUAUUUUUGUCAAUUUCACCUUUUGUUUAUAAACAAAUCCACCUGAUAAGCGACAUGUUCAUUUACUAUGCGUAUAUCCAUUCGAUAGGCAAUGAUCAAAGUUGACAAUUAUCGGGCUGUUUGUUGCAAAAAGAACCCUGUGUAUUGGAAAACCAUAGGUAGACUAUGUACAUAUAGAGGCCAUGUGGAGGUGAAGAAGAAAAUUAAAGGAAUAAUAUACCGGGACAUGUCAACACAGAGCGUAGCUGUGCAAUGGCAUUCUUCGAUUUACUGGUAACUGAAUUGCAUGAUUCAUUAAAAAGUCAUUAACUGAGAAAAAGGGGAAUGGAAAUGACUGGAGAUAUCUACACAAAUGAAACUAUUGAAGUGUCAGAUAGUGAUCAACAGUUGGCAACACAUGAAAACUAUAAUGAGAAGUGAAAGCAAAGUCUUAAAGAACUUGGAACUAAAGGAAGAAUUGGCAAGAAAAUAUUUUAAAGAUUGUUUCCAGUAACAUUGGUACACACUUUGUGAACGAUCAUUGAAAUAUUUGGAGAGACAAAACUUUAGAAGUGAUGCUAUGAAAUAAUAAGACAUGUCACAUGUAUUUAGUGAUUUUAAUUAUUGAUAUGCUUUGUUAUGCUUGUUUAUGGAAUUCUAAAGUGAAUAUUUUUCUAUCAUUUAGUAUUCAGCUUUUAUGCCCUAUUCGCUUAAGAAUUAUG